rnacentral:ncRNA from 1 species
AUGAUAGAGGUGCAAGGUUCAAAAGUACCCAUCUGGAGGAUGAACAAUUCCUAGGAAAGAUGGUGAAAGGGAGACUUGCCGAAGCGGUAAAUCCAUUGUUCAGAUUUAUUUGCUGGUUUUGCAUUUAAAAAAUGUAAGACUGUCAGAAUCAGUCAGAGAUUCUGGAGGGCUAUCUC